UACAGGGGGUGCAAACGUUGCUCGGAAUUAUUGGGCGUAAAGCGCGCGUAGGCGGUUACCUAAGUUGGAUGUGAAAGCCCUUGGCUUAACCGAGGAAGUGCAUCCAAAACUGGGUAGCUAGAGUGUGGAAGAGGGUCGCGGAAUUCCCGGUGUAGAGGUGAAAUUCGUAGAUAUCGGGAGGAACACCAGUGGCGAAGGCGGCGACCUGGUCCGAAACUGACGCUGAGGCGCGAAAGCGUGGGGAGCAAACAGG
rnacentral:rRNA from 1 species